rnacentral:lncRNA from 1 species
CAUUCUGACUUGAAACCUCUCUUCUGAUCCAGGAACAACUAUCCUGAGCUGCUGUUCAUGAUUCAGGUUGGCAUCAAUCAAAUUGGAAGCACAUGAAUUAUACAUUAUUGUUUCUGAGCCACAGUUUUUUGUUUUUAUCUGCUAAAGACAUGAAGAAUGGGAACACUACCAUUGCAUCUCCCAGCCCCAGAGAAGGAUGUUCACUCCCAUGUUCUCACCUUUUCUUCAUCUUUAUUUGAUGGCUAUAACUUUGUCAUUCAUAUUUUUUAAAAAUCGUGGGUGGAUGUUUUGGAUUUUUUUAAGAUAUACAGUAAAUACCAACUUCUUAAAUUUUCCCUCGCUGCUUCCAGAGGAGGCUGGUAUAUUUUUUCUCUGUUCAACAACGAGAGAAGUAUCAAGUUUUAGUUAUCUUCUACAGCACAUCUUUUGAGUAAAGACAUGCAAGUAGUACUGAAACGACUGCAAUGUGAUAAUCACGGAGACUGGACUGGUUCAACAUCCAGAUGUUUCGAUUUUUUUGAUAAAUCAAUCUCCAAGGUUCAGCUCAUUCACAGUGUGAGGCUACUUACCUGUUCAAAGUACAUCACUUUUGUCCUCCAGUUUUCAUAUUGGCUUCCUGUCAAGGUUUGCAUUGAUUUUAAAGUUUUAUUGUUGACGUUUAAAGCACUUAAUGGCCUGAUACCUUCUUACAUUAAUGAUUUGCUUAUCCCUAUGGGACAAGAAUAAA